rnacentral:rRNA from 1 species
GACGAACGCUGGCGGCGUGCUUAACACAUGCAAGUCGAACGGAAAGGCCCUGCUUUUGUGGGGUGCUCGAGUGGCGAACGGGUGAGUAACACGUGAGUAACCUGCCCUUGACUUUGGGAUAACUUCAGGAAACUGGGGCUAAUACCGGAUAGGAGCUCCUGCUGCAUGGUGGGGGGUGGAAAUUUUCGGCGGUUGGGGAUGGACUCGCGGCUUAUCAGCUUGUUGGUGGGGUAGUGGCUUACCAAGGCUGUGACGGGUAGGCGGCCUGAGAGGGUGACCGGCGACAAUGGGACUGAGAGACGGCCCAGACUCCUACGGGAGGCAGCAGGGGGGAAUAUUGCACAAUGGGCGGAGGCCUGAUGCAGAAACGCUGCGUGCGGGAUGACGGCCUUCGGGUUGUAAACCGCUUUCGCCUGUGACGAAGCGUGAGUGACGGUAAUGGGUAAAGAAGCACCGGCUAACUACGUG